GUAAAAUGGCUUGACCUAAAAAUGGGUACAUGAAAAUCGAAUUGGGUUUUAUCUGUGGACUGGAAUGAAGUAGUACGUCAGGGUACAACCCUCGUGUGCGGCAUUUCUUCUCCAGUGGGAUUUGUUUCUGAGACAUUCACAGUCAGAGAGGGGCAAAGAGAUAGAAAUUGAGAGAUAUCCAAAUCCGCGCCGAAAAUGGGUGCGAGCAGCGAUCCGAACCAAGACGGAUCAGACGAGCAGCAGCGCCGCUCGGAAAUCUACACCUACGAAGCCCCAUGGCACAUCUACGCCAUGAACUGGAGCGUCCGCAAGGACAAGAAAUACCGCCUCGCCAUCGCCAGCCUCCUCGAGCAGUACCCUAACCGCGUCGAAAUCGUCCAGCUCGACGACUCCACCGGCGAGAUCCGCUCCGACUCCGCCAUCUCCUUCGACCACCCCUACCCCCCUACCAAGCUCAUUUUCGUCCCCGACAAGGACUGCCAGCGCCCCGAUCUCCUCGCCUCCUCCUCCGAUUUCCUCCGCCUCUGGCAGAUCUCCGACUCCGACGCCGGUGGACGCCGCGUCGAGCUCAAGAGCCUCCUCAACAACAACCGCAACAGCGAAUUCUCCGGCCCGCUCACCUCCUUCGACUGGAACGAAGCCGAGCCGCGCCGGAUCGGGACCUCCAGCAUCGACACCACCUGCACGAUUUGGGACAUCGAGAAGGAGGUGGUCGAUACGCAGCUCAUCGCGCACGAUAAGGAGGUCUACGACAUCGCUUGGGGCGGCGUUGGCGUUUUCGCCUCCGUCUCCGCCGACGGCUCGGUUAGGGUUUUCGAUCUCCGCGACAAGGAGCAUUCGACUAUAAUUUACGAGAGCUCGGAGCCGGACACGCCGCUGGUGCGGCUCGGCUGGAACAAGCAGGAUCCGAGAUACAUGGCGACAAUCAUAAUGGACAGUAGCAAGGUCGUGGUGUUGGAUAUUCGCUUCCCGACGCUGCCGGUGGUGGAGCUGCAGCGGCAUCAGGCCGGUGUGAAUGCGAUUGCUUGGGCGCCGCAUAGCUCCUGCCACAUUUGCACGGCGGGGGAUGAUUCGCAGGCUUUGAUUUGGGACCUCUCGUCGAUGGGGCAGCCGGUGGAGGGCGGGUUGGACCCGAUUCUGGCGUACACUGCCGGGGCGGAGAUUGAGCAGCUGCAGUGGUCGUCUUCGCAGCCGGAUUGGGUGGCGAUUGCGUUUUCGAACAAGCUACAGAUUCUGAGGUUAUAAAUGACGAAAAAUUAGGAGACAAUCAGAGCUGUGAGUUAAGGAACUUCCUCACAGAAUCACAAAAGCUGACGUUAAGUUAGAACCUACUGGCUUGUGGUAACAACAUCAGUUCUUCCACCAGUGAAGCCCCUGUUGUGGGCCUGAGAUGACAGACGUUUUUGUCAGAAGUCAUGAUGUUUUGCUCAACAACUCAAAGUGCUUGGCGUUUAAGAGUCCAGCAGGUUGAAGAAGGUGUGUUGUAGAUUAAGCAGUGUGACAGUGGUCUGCGGUUAAACGAUGGCGGAUUAACAGGGUUCUGUAAGGACUACUCACAAGAUUUACCCAUUUAGCGGGGAAAUUCCCUAGUCUAGACAUACCCGAUAGCGACACUUGUACAAUGAUUGGCUGGGGACUUUUUUGUUUCCAUUCCUCAUCAAUGUUGCACGACUUGAACCGACCUAUGGGUUCGAUAUCUAUACUUGGAUUUCAAACACGAACAAAAUUAUGAUUAUAUCAUUAGAUACGUGUUUGGAUUCGGAUUCGGAUCUUGAUUUGUUACCCUGACAAGUGAACCUAUGAGGCAAGCAGAGUGAUUGCAAGUUUUUUAUGAUACAAUAUAUGGAAAUAAUGGGGUGAAUACUAGAAAUAUACUCCCUCCAUUCCACAUAA